AACGAACGCUGGCGGCAUGCCUAACACAUGCAAGUCGAACGAGACCUUCGGGUCUAGUGGCGCACGGGUGCGUAACGCGUGGGAAUCUGCCCUUGGGUUCGGAAUAACAGUUAGAAAUGACUGCUAAUACCGGAUGAUGUCUUCGGACCAAAGAUUUAUCGCCCAAGGAUGAGCCCGCGUAAGAUUAGCUAGUUGGUGGGUAAUGGCCUACCAAGGCGACGAUCUUUAGCUGGUCUGAGAGGAUGAUCAGCCACACUGGGACUGAGACACGGCCCAGACUCCUACGGGAGGCAGCAGUGGGGAAUAUUGGACAAUGGGCGAAAGCCUGAUCCAGCAAUGCCGCGUGAGUGAUGAAGGCCUUAGGGUUGUAAAGCUCUUUUACCAG
rnacentral:rRNA from 1 species